rnacentral:rRNA from 1 species
GACGAACGCUGGCGGCGUGCUUAACACAUGCAAGUCGAACGGAAAGGCCCUGCAUUUGUGCGGUCCUCGUGUGGCGCACACGUGUGUGUAACGUGAGUGACCUGCCCUUGACUUUGGGAUACCUUCAGGAAACUCGGGCUAAUACCGGAUAUGAACUCCUGCUGCAUGGUGGGUGUUGGUAAAUUUCGGCGUUUGGGGAGGGACGCGCGGCCUAGCAGCUUGUUGGUGGGGUAGUGGCUUAACAAGGCUCUGAGGGGUAGCCGGCCUGGGAGGGUGACCGGGCACAUUGGGACUGAGAUACGACCAAGAGUGCUACGGGAGGCAGCAGUGGGAAAUAUAGCACAACGGGCGGAGGCAGGAUACAGCGACGCCGGGUGCGGGAUGACGGCCUGCGGGGUGGAAAGCGCGUGCGCCUGGGACGAAGAGUGAGUGACGGUAAUGGGUAAGAAAGCACCGGCUAACUACGUG